ensembl:snRNA U4 U4 spliceosomal RNA
AUCAUUGCAUAGGGGCAGUAUUGUAGUCAGUGAGGUUUUUCUGAGGCGUAAUUACUGUUAAUUGAAAAUUUUUCUUCAGAAG